rnacentral:rRNA from 1 species
CAUCUUGAUUUAAUUUUGAACGAGUGGCGGACGGGUGAGUAACACGUGGGUAACCUGCCCUUAAGUGGGGGAUAACAUUUGGAAACAGAUGCUAAUACCGCAUAAAUCCAAGAACCGCAUGGUUCUUGGCUGAAAGAUGGCGUAAGCUAUCGCUUUUGGAUGGACCCGCGGCGUAUUAGCUAGUUGGUGAGGUAACGGCUCACCAAGGCAAUGAUACGUAGCCGAACUGAGAGGUUGAUCGGCCACAUUGGGACUGAGACACGGCCCAAACUCCUACGGGAGGCAGCAGUAGGGAAUCUUCCACAAUGGACGCAAGUCUGAUGGAGCAACGCCGCGUGAGUGAAGAAGGCUUUCGGGUCGUAAAACUCUGUUGUUGGAGAAGAAUGGUCGGCAGAGUAACUGUUGUCGGCGUGACGGUAUCCAACCAGAAAGCCACGGCUAACUACGUGCCAGCAGCCGCGGUAAUACGUAGGUGGCAAGCGUUAUCCGGAUUUAUUGGGCGUAAAGCGAGCGCAGGCGGUUUUUUAAGUCUGAUGUGAAAGCCCUCGGCUUAACCGAGGAAGUGCAUCGGAAACUGGGAAACUUGAGUGCAGAAGAGGACAGUGGAACUCCAUGUGUAGCGGUGAAAUGCGUAGAUAUAUGGAAGAACACCAGUGGCGAAGGCGGCUGUCUGGUCUGUAACUGACGCUGAGGCUCGAAAGCAUGGGUAGCGAACAGGAUUAGAUACCCUGGUAGUCCAUGCCGUAAACGAUGAAUGCUAGGUGUUGGAGGGUUUCCGCCCUUCAGUGCCGCAGCUAACGCAUUAAGCAUUCCGCCUGGGGAGUACGACCGCAAGGUUGAAACUCAAAGGAAUUGACGGGGGCCCGCACAAGCGGUGGAGCAUGUGGUUUAAUUCGAAGCAACGCGAAGAACCUUACCAGGUCUUGACAUCUUUUGAUCACCUGAGAGAUCAGGUUUCCC